rnacentral:rRNA from 1 species
GAACCUUCCCAGGUCUUGACAUCCUUUGACUACUCUAGAGAUAAAGCUUCCCCUUCGGGGGCAAAGUGACAGGUGGUGCAUGGUUGUCGUCAGCUCGUGUCGUGAGAUGUUGGGUUAAGUCCCGCAACGAGCGCAACCCUUAUUGUUAGUUGCCAUCAUUUAGUUGGGCACUCUAGCAAGACUGCCGGUGACAAACCGGAGGAAGGUGGGGAUGACGUCAAAUCAUCAUGCCCCUUAUGACCUGGGCUACACACGUGCUACAAUGGGAAGUACAACGAGUCGCGAAGUCGCGAGGCUAAGCUAAUCUCUUAAAGCUUCUUUCAGUUCGGAUUGUAGGCUGCAACUCGCC